rnacentral:rRNA from 1 species
UACAGAGGGGGCAAGCGUUGUUCGGAAUUACUGGGCGUAAAGGGCGCGUAGGCGGCCCGCUAAGUCGAACGUGAAAUCCCCGAGCUCAACUCGGGAACUGCGUCCGAUACUGGCGGGCUUGAAUCCGGGAGAGGGAUGCGGAAUUCCAGGUGUAGCGGUGAAAUGCGUAGAUAUCAGGAGGAACACCGGUGGCGAAGGCGGCACUCUGGGCCGGUACUGACGCUGAGGAGCGAAAGCGUGGGGAGCGAACAGG